AUACGUAGGUGACAAGCGUUAUCCGGAUUUACUGGGCGUAAAGGGCGUGUAGGCGGUCUUGCAAGUCAGAAGUGAAAUUCCUGAGCUCAACUCGGGCGCUGCUUCUGAAACUGCAGGACUUGAGUGCUGGAGGGGAUAGCGGAAUUCCUAGUGGAGCGGUAAAAUGCGCAGAUAUUAGGAAGAACACCGGGGGCGAAGGCGGCUAUCUGGACAGUAACUGACGCUGAGGCGCGAAAGCGUGGGGAGCGAACAGGAUUAGAUACCCUGGUAGUCCACGCGGUAAACGAUGAAUGCUAGGUGUUGCGGGUAUCGACCCCUGCAGUGCCGGAGUAAACACAAUAAGCAUUCCGCCUGGGGAGUACGGCCGCAAGGUUGAAACUCAAAUGAAUUGACGGGG
rnacentral:rRNA from 1 species